rnacentral:lncRNA from 1 species
UUUUUUUUUUUUUUUUGGGUGGAGCCUAGCUCCAAGAAGAGAGUUUUUUUGAGGAACUAACCAUCCAUGGUAAGGGACAAGAAUAGAUGAAUGCAGGAUGUGUCCCACAAAACCGUUUAACGUUGGGUUGUUGGAAAAACUCCCAUGCCCGCUGCAGUUCCAAGAAAUUGGAGAUUUGAUUUAAUUAUCGCAGACCAAAACAAAGAAAAGAAAAGGAAAAAUGGUGGUGAUCAACUGGUGGGUGAAGAGAUUGCAGUAGUUACCAAUCAUGGCCAAGAACAAAGAUUGCCCAAAACAUUGUUCCCUGAGCAGCCCAAUAAACUGGCCAAACCAUCCAAUUGUCAAAGUGAAGUGCCAGUGCUAUUAAUCCAACCACUACAACAAGGUCUCGAGCAACAUAACUCAGAGACCUCCAUGGAUUCUUUACCCAGCAAUGCUCAGGAAUGGCCGCUCGAAUGUCAGCAAUCUUAAAAGGAGGCGAUGCGCUUGGAUCAAAAUCAACUUCAUCCAUGUCUUUGCUAAUGAUACCGCUGCUGCUGUUCACCGGUCUCUCUGUCUCCUCGCACUCUCCCACCAAUGCCCUACCAGGUUUAGUAUUUUCAACUUGGCCCUUUUUGUCUGCCGAAAGCGGCGAAAGGGAGUGACCCAAAUCUGUAAAAAGGUCGGUGAGCAAGAAAACCAACUUGAGAAGCGAAAAAGAGAUUCUUGAAAGGGAAUCAAUCACUUUCUGCUCAAGUAUGAAUCUUGAAUUCUAAAAAAAAAAAAAAAAAAAAAGGGUUCAAAUACGGUUACAAUAUUUUAGACUCUAGCACGACUACCAAGGGGGGGUGGGGUGGGGAUCUUAUGCACAGAGAGCAUCGGCAACAGCAAAUGCCAGAUGGGUUCAUUUUCAAGUGUGAGGAACUUGCUGCAAGUAUAUGUUAGUAAUUACUUGUACUAUUGUCUGUCGCCCGAAAAUUUAAAGGCAUUUUCACGCGGGUAUCUCCAAGUAUAAAAUACUAGUAUAUGGUAGAGCAUCUCGUUUUCCCAGGACCUUACCUCACAAUUUACAGAAGUACUUCUCCUUUUUCUAGGUUUGUCCAUAUCAUUUUUUUUUUGGGGGUAUUCAUUUGAUUUUACUAAAUCUCUUAAUGAAUAGAGAUUCUUUUUACAUUAGCUAGCUACCUACGACAUGUAUUCUAUUCCAAUGCACUAGCACUAUUACAGUAUUACUACUGCCGGAGGGAUUACCGCAUAAUAAUCUCAAAGUAUCCCCUCCCCGGCAGAACCCCCUAUUUCGCCCAAGUUGUUUUGGAACCGACGCUGAAUAGUGGACGGAGAGACAAUGUGACAAGGGGGCAGAUCGUUUUCAGUCUGUUCUUGGAUUCUGAUUUAUACAAAAUUAAUUAAUCUUGUAGUGCUGCUUGUGGUUGAAUUUGUAAGUUGGGGGGGUAAAGGUGUUGCCAUGAUGCUAGGAAGACGACUGAAAGAACACAGCAAAGUACACUCACGCACUUAGCACCGAAAACUGAAGUUUGUUACAUCCUAUCCUAUGUUUGGUUUGGGGCUGCCAAGUGUGAGCGCAUAUAAUUUUAGCGGACUCCAAUCUCCCAUAUUGACAGAAAGCGAAAGGUGCAAUAUGGUGGUGCCCCAUGCAAAAGGCAUCGGGGAAAAAGGAAAAUUUUCUUACGAAAGGCAGGUUUUUCUGUUACUAUACUUUGAUGAAGAAUUCCACUUUCUUGACAGACUUAGCAUAUAAACAUAUUGGAAUCUUAGUAGCAUGACAGAAAGACAGACAGUAGUGUAAUUUUAAAAAGUAAUAGUACAUAAAAUCGAAACCGGACAGGUACAGUUAACCUUAAUUUUUUUAUGACUCACUGUACAUUCACGUAACUUACUCUGUUUUAUUUUAUGAUUUGAGUACAAUAAAGUUAUUUAAAUGUACAACAAAUUAUGAAAAAUGUACAACAAUCUUAUCAAUUGUACCUGAGAUCAACGAUACCUGUUCAGAUCAACCCGCGUAAAAAUAUAUAUAAGGAUCAGAGGAUAAGAUAAUGAUAAAUUUAGAUCGAUGAUUGGUGGCUACAAGUAGCGUGUAACUUCUAAAAACAGGACAACCAAAUGGCAAAAUGUAUGUGUGCUAAUUCCAUUCCACAACGAUGGUUGCAUUUGCUUGAAAUAUAGAAAUCCUCCACCGAAUUUAACAGGAAAGACGAGAGAAAAAGCUAAGGAGAAUUCUAGAAUAAUAUGCUUACCAGAUUGGAAUUAUUUCUUAAGAAACACGGAAAGAUGUGCUCUUUGUUUAUCACAAAGUAAAAAAAAAAAAAAAAAGCAACAAUUUGUCUCUUUGUUCAUCACAAAGCGGCACAACCAUGAUUUUAGGCAACUUUUCACCGAAAUAGAAAGUUAGAGAGCUAAGCAUAUGCAUGACAUGAAUGUGGUUGAUAUUUUACCUUGACACAUGUCGGCGGAAGAGCACCAGCUGCUGAGGGUCAAGGAAGGGGGAAGAGGGAGAUUGAACAGGGGAAUGACUUAUUCCUCGAUCAGCCAAGUCGGAGAAGGACAAACGAAUUUGUGUCUGUUUCUCGGGGUGUCCGCCAUGCAGGGAUCCUCAAAUUUAUAAGGCAAAAAAAGUAUCGAUGGCCGGUGGAGAUGCCCGUAUUAAAAACGGUAAGAGCAUUAUACACGCCAGGAAUGUAUGAAAUUUGCUUUGCAGCUAUACACUAGUGAGUGACAUGGACGAUGUGUGCCCGUCGAACUCGGCCCUCCGUUGUCUUGACUCUCGUGGGGUUGUGCUUCUCCAGCUACUCCCACCAUCGGUUUACUUCUACAAUUUGGGUUCUCUCUCUUCAUUUCCUUUUUUGGGAAAUUUCCAAACGAUUUUAGCCUUUCCCCUCUCUCUUUCUCUAUUUUGGGGGCUGCUAUUUACUUCAUUCAUUAACAAAAGCUAAGCUCGGUAAGGCCUUUUUGGUUGUUCAAUUGUUGUAAUCGAAACUAUGGAUCUCUGAUAAAGGGGUAUCCAUAAUUUUUCUUGAAAUAAUUCAGGAUCAGUACGUGUCAGAUCCUUAGUCCUACAACUUUGGAGUUUGGUUUCUGCUCUCCACGCAUUUUAGAACAGUCAUUUUAACAAGUUGCUCCCCAGAUGGAUUAUCGACCUUGUGAACACUAAAUUCCACAUUGCAAGGGAUAUGAAAAUACUCCCAUCCAAUCUCUACUUUCUUUGUAUCCCUAUUCAUAUUCUUACUAAGUCAGCUUCGAAAUACCAGUAGUAGUGUUUCCGGGCGCUGGAUUUCUUUUGGAAUAUUUACCCGGUAUUCAAAGAUUUCAAUAUUUAUUCUCCCCUAAAACAGUAUUUUUAUUUAUUUAUUUCUUGGGUUCUGAAUCAAAAUAUGGGUCGUUGUCCAAGGUAUCCGCGUUAUAUAUAAUGUCUUUGGUUAAUUUAAUUUUAUGUGUUGUGCUCGGGCUGGUGGAGCUCCGCGACAAGGACCCGAAUGAAUACUUGUUAAACUCAAGCUGGAUUUUUUUUUAAAAAAAAAAAUUUCCUUGGUGCACGUGUCUCAUUUUCUUCAAUUUAAACAUGCUACGAUGAACUGUACCCAAAUAUGGACCUUUGAAGCGGCGGCCGGACUGAAGCCAUUAGGUCAAAAUUGCGUACUAGAGUUAACUACUAGUAUUAGAACAGUGUGCUAACUGGAAAAUUUUAGUUUGAGGGGGUGAAAUACACACACAUAUAUGCAUAUAUAUAUAUAUAUAUAUUUGGAGUCUUUUUGAAAAGUUUUGGAGACAAAUAUGUAUAGAAAUUUUGAAAAUUCUCAAACUUUUAAGAGAAGAGAGUAUGAUUUUUCUUGGAAGGACGAAUAGCUAAAUAAAUAUAAGAACUUUGAAAAAUUUCAAAAUUUGAUAGAGACAAAGUAUGAAUUUUUAGAAUUUGACAGGGACUGGGUUGGGGAGAAUUUUUAGAAUUUGACAGGGACCCUUGAUUCGAAAAAAUGGAGAACUCCCCCAAACACGGGACACGUAACCCAAUCACAGAGCCGUUUCUCUGAGGUUAAUUGUGCUUUGUGUGAUGCAUGUGUUGUAUGACAUUCAAUCAAGCAGCCGCAUAAUUUGUUACCAAAUAUAUAGUUUUUAUUUUUGUUAAUCAAGUUACAAACGAUGAUGAGAAUAAUAAAAAUAAUUUUAAAAAUUAAUCCACAAAUGAUAGGUAUUACGAUUUUUUAAGAUAUUACGAACUAGCCCACAAAAAUAUGGUAAAUAAAACUCACAUAUAAUAAAAUUUCAACCCACGAUCCUACACAUAGACAUAGUGCUCUCUCUUAACAUUUCAUGAAUUAUAAGUCUUGAAUUCAAGUUUUCGUGUAUGUUAAUUUUUUCUCUCGCUAUUUGUGAAUUGAUUUAUAUUAAUUAAUUAAAUUUCUUCUACUUUCACGUAAUAAACGUGUGAUUGACACUGAAUUUAAUUUAGAAUAGGGAAGUGGCAGUCCGGCGGAGAGGAUCUCAAGUUUGUGGUCCAUAAGACAAGGGGGGCCUCAAAGGUUCAACCACACAUUUCGCUCUCGGGCUUUUACAGCUUAGGAAAUUGGGCAGGCGUUCUGACUUGUGUGAGGUGGGUUUGUCAGUAGUUUCAAGUUGAACGUUAAGAGCUACGUCUCACGAAGCGAGAAGAGCCUUACUAACAGAUUUCAUAAUUCUAAGUACGAUUUCAUAAUUCAGUGACAAUGCAUACAUUAUUACUAGUGGGAAUACCCGUGCUAUGCACGGUGCUGACAUUAUUGGAAAAAAAAUAAAAUGGUGAACAAAUAAAGGUGAAAAAAUUUUACCAAUAAAAUUAAAAUAUAAUAUCUGUUUAACAAUAGUUUGAAAUAUAAUAGAAUGUAUAUAUCAUUCAAGAACCGUCUUUUUUCAGUUGUAUGAGAAUUUUUUUUAUCAUUGUAUGAGAAUUGUUAACAAAAAAAUACAAUAGUUAAUAUAGAAUAGCAUCAAUAGAAUUUAAUACAAUUGUGUUAUAAUCAAAUGAAAAAUACGCACCAAUUGAAUUGUUAUUAGCACCCAUAGUUAAUGAAGUAAUCCCUAUAUAAAAAUAUUUUGGUACAUGUAGUAAUUGGUAAUCUAUAAAAUAAAAUAAAUUGCUAAUCUAUAAAAUUGCUAAGUUGUCUAUAAAUAGCAUCAAUAGAAUGUAAUACAAUUGUAUUGUAAUCGAACAAUUGUAAUACAAUUGUAUUGUAUUGUAUCUAUAGUUGAUUUAGCAAGAUAGUGUAGCCAAAAAAUGUAUAUGUAAGAUAAGUAUGACGAUAUAAGAAACUGUAUAUUUACCAUGAUCAUGCAAAAUCAUUGGUGAUGUGGAUGCCUGGCGAUCUUGAGGAUAGUUACAUUUUUCAUUUCUUAGAUCUAGAAAUAAAAUAUAUAUUAAAUUAAAAAUCAAUAGUUUAUGUAUUUAUUUUAUGUGUAAAUAGUGAUACAUUGUAUGAGAACUGUUAACCAAAAAAAAUAAUAAUUAAUAUAGAAAUAGCAUCAAUAGAAUUUAAUAGAAUUGCAUUGUAAUCAAAUGAAAACAAUUACAGAGAAGUGGUUACCUGAACUAAGGAAUGCAGUUUUUAAUGCUCAAAAGUGCCUUGACGAUUGCACAUAUGUCAGGGGCUUUGUGAGUUUUUGGCUCCUCUUGAAUCAUUUUCUUUUUUCUAAUUGUAAUAUAUUACCUACAGGUGUUAAGUAGGACUUGGCUCUAACCUUUCGUUUAAGUACUUUAAGCAAUGAACUAUUUAUUCCGUGAGUUGAAUUGUGCUGUUGCUAGAUAGAUGAAUUACAUAGUUGUAAUUGUCAUUGUUGAUAAAGAAAAGAAAGGAUAGAAUGCAAUUUUGCCAAAAGGAUUUCUGACGAAAUUAAAAAUUAAUCCAAUUUUAAUAAUGGGCGUAUAGUGCCUUAGUUAUUAGUAGUAGCUGAAUUGUUUUUCUCCAAUUAUAAACCAUUUUUAAUUAUUUUUUAAAAUUAUCAAAAAAUAUUUUUUUUUAUUUCAUGCACGAUCAUUUUUGGAAUAAAAUUAUGAAAAUAACUAUCGUAACACCUAUUUUAUGUGAUAAAUGUGCAAUAAAAAAUAAUUAAAAAAAUUUCAGUAAUACAAACAAAUAAAUUUUUAUAAUAUACAAUUUAUGUUAGAAAUAAUAGAACCCUCAAUCAUGAACCUAUACCAUCCGCAAUUAUAUAAGCAAGCAAUACCUUUUUAUCUUUGAUUUACAGUGUAACAAUAAGCAAACAACCGUUCAUAAGAUUUUGUAAAAAAUUUUCAGAAAUAAUGGAUGAUCAGAAAAUCAAUGCAAUAUCAUUAAUGACAAACAACAAAGCAAAAACAAAACAUACUUAAAAGGCAGAGGGGACUGACCUGGAAAAUUAAGCCGGCCGCAAGAAGGUUGAUUUCUGCUGGAGUCUCUGCACAUAAUAUCUUCCACUACUGCUCACAAAAGAAACAAAAUCAAUACAUUUACAAAAUCAAUAGAGAACCUAAAACAAAUAAGAAACUGAGAGAGAGGGUGAGGGAAUUAACUCGAUAAGUUAAUUAAGUCGAUCAGUAAAAGAAGAAGUUGUAGGAGUAAUUGUAUGAUGAAUUAAGAUAGUGGGAUAGUGGGAGUGAGAUAGUGAGAAUAUUGAUUGGUGAUAAGGUGAUAGUGAGAUAGUGGGAAUAUUGAUUGGUGAUAAGGUGGGUUAUAACCCACUACCUUUUUAUGUAUUAAAAUAAAUACAAAAAUAUGAGUUAAGAUAGUGGGAUAGUGGGAGUGAGAUAGUGGGAAUAUUGAUUGGUGAUAAGGUGAUAGUGGGAUAGUGGGAAUAUUGAUUUGUGAUAAGAUGGGUUAUAACCCACUACUUUUUUAUGUAUUAAAAUAAAUACAAAAAUCUAGAAAAAAGUAUGACAAGUUUAGAAGGCAUUGAGAGGGUUUCUGCUAAAAAUCCCUUCCUGAAUACAUAUAGAUAUAGAUUAGGUUAAAAUAAAUAUUAUAUUAUUUUAAAGAUGAAUUUCAAUUUUAAAUUUUACAUAUAUAUAUAUAUAUGAUAGAUGUGUAUCCAAAUUUGAUGAAAAAAUUAACCAUAACGUUUAUGAUUCAUUUUCUAUGGGGUAAUUGCAAGUUUGUAUUAAAAAAGUAGGAAAACAUUUUACAUUCAUUAAACUAGGAGGGGUAUUCUUGAUCAAAAAAGAGUUUUUUUUAGAUGAAAACAAAUUUCAUUGACAGAUUGUUGGAAAUCAUGCAGCAAUAAAAUAAGGAAAAAAACACAAAAUCUCUGUAGAAAUCCCUAGAAAAAUAGAAAAUUCUCACUAGAAUCUCUAGAAAAAACAACCAAAAACUCUCACAAAAAAAAAAAAAAAACUUAGAAGAGACUUUAUUAGAAAAAACAAAACAAAAAAAAAAGCAUUUCGUAAUUAAUAAGCCGGCAAGGUGAUUUAGUCGCAAUUACUCUUUGCGUAGACCAAAAAAAAGGGCAAUUUAUGGCACGAUAUCAAUUGCACAACUGUAAUUGGUUUACUGGUCUAAAAAAUCAUACUACGGACAAUUAAAGUAAAAUAUUGAAAGCUAUUUAAAAAAGAGAGAGAAGAAGAAGAAAAAGUGAUACUUGAUUUAUAUUUAUUUCUGAAAAUUCUAAUGUCCUUAAUUUGCCAAACAAAACAGAAAAGAUCAUCACCUCUCGUCUAACAUGAGCACAAGUUCAAUUAAAAAUUCUCUUCUGAUGCCAAUAAAGUGUGGAAUGGUACCUUCAAUCCCACAAGGCUCAAAUUAGAUAUUUAAUACUCCAUACGGAAAAUAUAAUUACGUUACAGAAGAGAAACUCAAUUGGUUCAACAUAAUGGCUGCUCAAGAAGCAAAUAUCAAAAGUCUAUGAUCCCAAAAUCAAACUCUUUGACAUUUGUUUUAGGACCAUUUCUAAUUGCUAACGACGUUAUAAGACUACUGUUUCUGCAGUUUUGCCCUAGAAAUCAGAUUUUUUUUGGCCCACGGGACUGAUCUCUUCAUUCGAAUUUAUUUAUUUUUUGGUAAGCAGAGAGUUUUGAACCCGAAUUCUCACUUGCAUCUCAUCUCCCGUAUUGUCAAAACCGUCACUCUGCCCCCUCCGUUCGAAAUUGACAUUAAGAUCUCCGUUCAUGAAGAUGUUCAAAUAAUCUUAACCAGCCAGCCGUUGAAAUGGAAUUCUGGGGUAAUUCUUAACUCCAGUCAAUAGACAAAUUUGAGUUGAUCCUACUUGACAAUUUCUUCACAAGUCUUAGAAAGUGCGAAAGCCCAUACCAAUCUAGACUUAGUUCCGAUGAUUUACCCAAAAAAAAAACUCUAAAUAACCUUCAGUCCGACAAGCUCGAUGAUCAUUACUCCUUUGUAUCUUCUUCUUUGUAAAAAAAUCAUGCGAUUGUAUCAUAAAUAUUUUUGAAUUAAUUUUUUAUAUACUGAUAGUAUACACGCUGUCGAUGUUCGAUGAAUAAUAACCAUACAAAGUUUAAAUUUGAAAUUUAACUUUUGCACACGUAUCAUGAAUUCAACAAUGAUAAUAUAUACACUUAUACUGUAAGUGUAUAUAAGGUCUACUCAAUAAUUUCUAAUCACUAUUUUAUUAUUUCAACCACUUUACCAUCUCACAUAUAUAUAUCACGUCACAAAAAAUAUUAAAUAGUAUUAUUUUAAAAGAUUUUUUUUUCUAAAUAAUCCCCUAUGCACGCGCGCGCACACAUUCCACGGUCGAAAUAUGAAUAGUAAUUGCAGAAGCAGCAAAUUGUGCGGAAUCAGCCCAGAAUGAGGAUUGGAAAGCCAAAAGAAAAAUGUUUAAGCAUCCCCUUUGUACGGUAGCCCCAGGGCUCAUACGGUUCUAAUUCUAAAAUACGCUCCGGGGAGAAAGGAGAAAGGAGAAAGAGGGUGGACACAAUAAAUUCAAUGGUUGAGUGGAGCCAAGUCCAAGUAAUACAAGUAAUGAGGAAACUGAUUUGUACUAGAGACGAUCUAUUAUAAUAAAACCUUCGGAGCAUUUACUGGGAGAUGGAUCGCAAAUCGACGGCCGCAAUCAGCCUCUAAUUAGCUGUACGGGGAUCGGCUUAAAUGUUUGGUUCCAAUGAAAAAGUGCAGGACAGUGUGUCGUUAAUGUUGUUUGUCCUACCAUCAUUUUGUGAGUGAAGUCACACCAAAGUACCGUCCUUGCGAUGUACUGUAUCUUGCGUGUCACUGUGGACUCGCUUGAAUUUUUUAUGCAUGAUCACAUUUAAUUGUAAUAAAUUGAUGGGAGGUAAGAUUUGAACCCUUGUCUUCCAUCUCACAAAGUUUUAAUGAAUUGGUGGUAGUUACCAACCAAAAAACUGGUGGUUUUUUCUUUUCUUUUUCACUUGCUUCAUAUUUAUUUGUGGAAAGAAUCUGCCAAUAAAUAUCACCCCGUUAAAAGUAAAGAUAAAAUGGAGAGUGACAGAGAGAAAUGCAUUUGACAAGUUUUGGAGAUUUUGGCUCAAGGCAAGGAUGGGAUUAUGAGAACGCCGUCUCUCUCGCCGCUCUGACUGCCAAACGCGUAGUGAACAUGGGCAUGUCCAGAACAAGUGAUGGACAGUUUCCACAAUCUCAUAACAUCGCGGGCAAGAUGUUUAGUGCGCAUUUGGCAUUAAACAUUCGUAGGUCGGGUGUUCUAACUCACCUACAGUGAAAAAAAUUUAAAGGAGGUGAAAGAAUACCCUUUUGAAUCUAGUCAGAUCUGUAUACCUGUUAGUCCCUUACAUAGCUUCUUCAAACUCUUCCUUCCUAUAGAAUAGGUUGGAUUAAAUUAUAAGAAUGUUAUCGUUGAUGCUAAAAAAAAAAAAAACAUUCGCUCUUUAUAUUGUAGUAAAUAGAUUUUCUACCAUGUGUCAAUUGGCACUUGUUAAUAUCAUAAUUUGAGGAUUCCUUAAUGGGAAUAGCUUAUUUCACUUUUUUUUUUUCCAUUUUAAAUCCGCACCUUCAAUACAUUGGUUACUUAUACAAUUAGCAGUGAAAGUACAUUGUAUGGAUCUAACCGCUACCCUAAUAUUAAGUUGUGUUUUACUGCUCAGUUAACCCGAUUUCUUAUAAUAAAUAGUACAUGAUUUGAUUAAAAACUCGAUGAACCUCGAGUCUAGAGAUUUUACUUGAUUAUUCACCAAGUAAUCAGGAGCUUCUAUUGAGUUGAAUUUGUUUAAAACCCACAAAUAUAAUAAAUUUCCGACAAAAUUUUUUCAACUUUAUAGUUUCGAAAUAGAUAAUGAGUACAUAAAAAAAAAAGAUCAUUAAAAAGCUUAACACCUAAAUAAAUUCUUAGAAUAAUUUAAUUGUUGACAAACGACAUGGUAAAUGCAUAUAGUUUAUGACCUUGAAUUUUGUACUUCAUGAUGGAAAAGAAAUUUGUUCCAGUAGUCGAGUAUGCUUAGCUUAAUAGCUCUUUGAAUCAGUUUAAAUUUUACAAAAAAUUAUCAUGCGUUUGUACAUUGUGCAAACACACACAUACAUUGUUUAAUACUUGGACUUCACCUAACAAGUGCUCCUGAGUACUCACCAGACCCCUUCUUCUUUUUUCUUUUUUGUGUUUCAAUGUAUCUGACUUUUUAAUUGGUUGUUAAGUGAAUUUAUGUGAAAGGUGGGUGCACUAAUUGCAAGGGAUUUUCCUCUUAUAACUCGCGUACGCAACAACGCCUCUUCUUCUUCUUCUUAUUAUUUCUUUUUUAAGCUUCCCCAUUUUGUUGUUUUCGCUUUGCAUCUGGCAAAAACACGGAAGCAAAAGAACGCACUUUUAUAUAUAGUUUCCCAAGGGCACCCGCUCUUUGCAGCAAUGUUUCUCAACCAAAAAAAAAAAAUAGUUGAAUCAUGCAGUUGACCGGUUUUUAAGUCUAGAUCCACUCAACUUUACAAAUCAGAUCUGAGUUUUGUAUGAAAUAUCAUAUUUAACAAUUACAUAUUAUAUAUCAUGUUUCAGAUGGUUUAACACUCCCAAACUAUUAUUAAUGAAUUAUGCUCUUCUUCCUUUCCCUGCCGAAUAGGUCGACCGAGAAAAAUAAAAGAAGAAAAAAAUAUUCGAAGGCUCUCACCCCAAAGACAUGAUUCGCAACUCAUCAACCCUCGUCUUCUGCAGAAACCCUGCGCCAAUCUCCUUCACUCCCUUCUUGCUUUUAUCUCUGACAUCAUCUCGACAGCGAGAGAGGCUGGAUUCGAAAUCAUGUAUGGUGGCUUGCUUACAUCGCGCACAAAGGCAACGACUAUUUGCUGCUGGCAUUGUGCACCAACAACCUUGACUCUUGAGGGGGAAUAAUCUCAACCAGCAUACCUUCAAAUGCUAUAAUCCAUUAACUGUGCAAUUACCCUAGUUUGUCCCCAACAUCAUACAUAAUAUUUCCUACUAAUUAUACAAAAUUCAGAGUCUCUAUUUUGCUAUAAAUUGCCUCUAUCACUACACAACUGUUUAAAGAAUAUGUAAGAUGAUUUGUUCUUUUCCAUUUUUUUGAAAACCGGGGGGGGGGGGGGGUUGUGUGUGUGUGUGUGUGUGUUAAGGAACGUAAGAUAAUGGUGGAAAUUUGCAAUUAGCAUCUGACUCCAAGUUACUCCUAACAGCUAUCUUUGUCCUCGGCUUUGACUAGAUGGCUGUCCACUAACCCCUGAUAUUUGUUUUAAGUUGGUGAGGGCAUCCUGAGCAUGGCUUUUUGUCAUAACACUUCCAUAUUUAAAGGCAUCCACCAGGGCCCUAACAAGAGACUGAUUGAGAGAUUGGCGGUGGGCGAAGCUAUCAGCUCUCAACAUCUUAUCCACCAUACCAAUGGCCUUAUCCUGAAGCUCCCCUGGCCGCGAUUCUGUGAAGAGAACCACGACUGCAUUAGCCAUGCCAAGGCUUUCAAGCUCCCCCAUAGCACGCUUUAAACCAGCGGAGUUCUCCUGCAACAAGGUUGAAACUGCUUCUAAUGCAGCAACUUGGACAGUCGUAUCUCUGUCUGAGAGUGCAUCAACCAAAGGCUUGAUGCAAUUGCUCUUGAGUAGACAAAGUUGGCUACCUUCUUCACAUGGGGCGGCAUGAAUAGGACACAAAGAAUGUGCUGGAAGGGCCCUAGUACAUAUGAAGAAGGAAGAGCAGAAUCCUUGGGGAGGACUCGGGUCAAAGUCGCCAGCAGCAGCGAGGGACAUUCCAGAUUCUGACAAGUAUUUCAAACCCAGGGCAGCUAGUUGUUUCAUCCUCACUGUUGAUGCGAAAACCAGUUGGUCACGGAAAAUGGUCAUAACUUGAUGCUCUUUGAUUACACCAAGACAUUGUGGAUCAGAGCUCCUACAGAAGUGCAGUAAUAUGCCAAGGAGUCCUUCUGCCAUGGUGGAAUUGGACCUCGAACUUCUUCCAUUUGUACUGCAAUGCUGGCCCUUUAAAGUGGAAACGAUCCACUUAAUGAAACCAGUUCCUAACAUAGUUUUCACUUCAUUUUCUGAGAGGCUAAGAUUGGCAAGAAUGCAGGCAGCAUCAGAUCGCUCACCAUCUCUGGAUUGACUGUCAAGUACCUUGUCUUUGAGCAUGACAAACUUGUUGGAAGUUCUAAGUGCACUGGCAAGCUCUUCACCAAACCUCUCAGAGAGGACCCUUGUAAGCCUCAAAGCAUAAUUCCGGUGUUCAAUUUUUGGGUGCUCAAGAAAUGUGAUAAUUGUUUUGAUACCAUCUCCAGAUCUUAUGUGAGUAGUGACAGAUUCUGCAGAAAAGACAGUAACACCCAAUUGUCAUUAGUGACACAGGAGUGUCAUUAUCCCAGGAUGCUCUGAGGAUGAGUUCUGUUUCACCAUUAAGCAAGUUCUAGAAAACUAGUUGUGUUAGUUAAUGAAAACAUCAUUUAAGGCUAUUUUUCUUACACUAAUACAGGAAGGGUGUACUAAUAUCCAACUGCUUCCAAGCAUCUCGGAAAGUUUGGAUCAGAUUGUUUUCAAACCCCAUAACAUUGCUGUAUUCCAGUUACUAGGGAUUACAUUUUAAUUCUUUCUUUUUGAUUUCAUGUAAAGCAUUAAUCUCUCUUUCCUCUAAUCCAACUCCAAAGGGAAUGGUAACUUAUUUUUUCUGCAAAAGAGUGUAAAGGUUAUAUUGAUAUGACAAAAGUUACCUGAUGCUUGGGGCGAGGAUGCAAUACGAUAUAGAAUUUGGAGAACAGAUAGUUGGCAUGGAGGUGAUGCAAGUAAAAGAAGCCCCAGAAAACUAGAAAUAAUUGAUUCUGACUGCAGUGGAUGCCCUGCCUUGUCAGCAGAAGCUAAUUCCCAAUGUCCAGGGCUCAUCACAAUAUUUGCAAUAAUCGAUGCAGCUAAUGCCUUCAAUUCUAAGGAUACAACUUGAUUCUCAAAAAGAAUUUCUGUUAGAGCUGGAAGCACCGAAGAAUCAGUAAGGAUUGUAGCAUUUUCAGCAAAGCAUGAAAGGUUAUACAAAGCUUGCAGACUUGCUGCUCUUCCAUCCAGGUUUGAUAGCAGUUCAACUAAACUUCUAGCACCCUGACAAGCAAUUUGUUCCUUACUGCUAUUUGUCAAGGUCAUUCUCCCCACUACAGAUGCCGUCUCUAUUUUGACAUCAUCAGGACCUGUUCAAUGGAACAUUGAGAGUCAAUGAAAAAAAGUUUUUCCUUCCUUUCCUAUGGAAGUGUUCAUAGGAAUAUAGAGUAUACGUUUCGAAUAUGAUCAUUGGUGUCAAGUAGUUGAACAUAAUCAUUUUUGGCGUUUCCUGUGUUUCUAUGUACAAAUCUCCAGCUCAACAUUAAAGCAUAAGAAACUUAAACAGAAAUAUUAGAAAGAAACCUCUAAUCAUGCCCUUCAUCUAUUCAAUUAUUUUGUUGGAGCCCCGUCCUUAGUUUUAUUUGUAUGAUUUCAAAGCAAAUUUCUGUUUUAUUAAGUAAACAGGUAAUUAUGUGAAUAAAUCUUCUGACCUCCGGGUGUACAUGCCAAUGAAUCAUCAGACCUCUGAUUCAUUUUUUUUUUCCAUUUUCUCAAAUUCAGUACAAGAAUACAGUUACAGAAAAAUGUAUAAUGCAUGUCGCAAAACAGUAAUAAAUGGUGAGAAUAUAACUAGUAAGCGUUCACACUGACAAUAUACUUUGGAUCCUUGAUUAUAUUUAAAUUAUUUGUUCUAGAUCACCAGAAGGGAAAAUGAAAGAGUUUCAGGGGCAGGACUGCUUGUAAUGUUGGAUGUGCUGAAACAUCUACAAUAAACAAUUUUUCAAUGUCCGAGUUUCUGGGAACCUGGACGCCCCAAAGAAAUUUUAGUAACUAUAAAAGCCUGAGAACUAAACUUUGAAGAUGAAACUUCUCUUAUCUGCAAACAUGUGAAUUAUAUAAUCAAGCAGCCAUAGUUCUUAACCGAGUAUCCUUGUCAAUUUGUCCCUAAUGUUUCAGCACUACAAUAGAAUACGUACCUUCGCAUAACCGUUUCAUUAAAGGUUCAAAUCUUCCAGCCACUGCUAAAUGCUCAACAUUCUGCUCCACCUUCUCUAUGCGCUUCAGGACCUCCUCAGCUAAAUGAGAUAAAGAAGGAUUUUCCAGAUUAUCUGCCAUACAUGAAAGAAGAACUAACGCCCCCUUUUCUGAAGCAAUUUUGAUGCAGAAAUCUUCAUCACUUGAGAAGUCAAGUAAUAACCUCACUGCAAAUUCUCUCUCUUUCUCUGAGCUCCCAAUCAGACCAUGUAUAGCCGACCUAGUAAUCCCCUCUUCAAGCAUCAUCACCUGGAAAAUGGUGUGAAGAGGAAAAACAAAAAGGGUCGUAAUGUCAAGAUAGUGCACAAGAUUUCAUAUAUUAAUAAUUUUAGAAGCUAUAUUUUACUAUACUUUCACAGCUAAACAAAAGGAAUAAAGAAUUUUCACAUGCGUUCCAUAACAUGCAUCAAUGAACUUCAUUGAACAUUGGUCAGCUAAACGACUAUUAAAGACCAAUUGAGAGACUGUGCAACAUAUUCUUUGACACCCUAAUACCCAAUCCUUAGAGUAAAAAGGAAUAAAUUGACAAGAUAAACAAAAAAAAAAUAAAUGGCAAGAUCAAUGUGAACCUGUUCUCUUCAUUAAGGAGACGAAAGCCUCUCCCUCACACUUUCUCCCUUCAUAAGAUCAAGCUGACUUGCCAAAGGUUGACAAAGAAGACUACUUCACAAAAUGAGUGCUCACAUCAAGUGUACAAUAGCUGGGAAUCUACCUAGUGCUCACAUCAAGUGCACAAUAGCUGGGAAUCUACCUUUUUCUUACCAUUAUAUUGACAGGGCCAUAACUUUUUAGUUGUGACAAAGAUUGAAUCCAGCAGUUCAUAGGCUAGCAACUACCCAGACAGCCUUUUACUUCCUUCUGAUAGAUCACGAAUUCAGACACUUAGAACUUAAAACUACUGCUGAACGCUGCCAGAGAAACGUAACUUUAGUUUCUCAGGAAGCCUAAAGACAGCAUGUUCAGUUGGGCUACAUCUAUAAAAACAAGAGCAAAAAGCACCAAAGAGAUUAGACUACAUCGCCAAUGCCAGCAGUUAUCAGGACGUUUUAUAUUCACAGCACAAGAAAAGUGAAGGUUGCCAUGUUAACUUUUUAGUUGUUAGAAGAGGUUGAACACACUCACCCUGCUUUCUUCAUCCUUGGCCAUGCUAAACAAUACCAUAAGAGCUUUACUUCUUAAAAGUGAUCCAAUAACCUUCGAAGAAUUCCUCAGCAGCUUGAGAAUAAGAACAACAAUGCCUUCAUUUCUGACCCUGUAUCUGCUCAUAGGAUGCUCUUCAGAAAUCUUAUAUAUGCUAUCCAGUGACCUGUCAAUUGAGUCCAUCGAUGAAGAAUCCUCACUGAGAUACUCAACAGCUCUCUUAAUCUGAACCUCAAUAUUCCGGUUGACCCACUCAUCAAUAGCACCAGCUAAUCCAAUGUUAGGCUUGAGCUCCAAUGACUUUAGCACCACCCCAGUAACAGGACAAGUCGGCUCACGACCAUCUUCUAAACAUCUCUCAAACCAAUAAUUAAUAGCAGUUUUCUCAUAUGUCUGAGCCGAUUCCAACACAACAGGACUCUUCAUUAUCUCCUUGGUUAAGGGACAAAUAAAGUUCUUAAAAGGCAAUAAUUGAGCUCCUUCCUCUUCAGAAUUGAAAUCGAACUUCUGGGUUAGAAUAUCCGGCUGAAUUGCCCAAUUUUCGACAAUCUUCGCUAAUGAUGUCAAGAUACGCCUAUCUGAUAUAGAAGAUGAGUUGCCUAUAUCAUUCCUAAGAAGCUUAACCUGAUCAGCUAAUGCCAAGUGGUUAUUAGAGUCUAUCCCCAAAGCUCUAGCUAAAUCCAUUACCAUUGCACUCUGCACUGCUUUGCUGCAUUGCCUUCCUUGCCCUUCCUUUUUCAAAGUGCAAUAAACUCUUUCUUCAUUCUCUGUCACCUACAUAUCACAGGCCAACAGCUAGCGCACAUUAAAACACCCCUCAUUGACACAGAGAUGGACGCACAUAAUAUCAAAACUCUAAAAUGCUACUGCAAGAGCGGAAAGAGACAGGCCAUAAGCACAGAUAAAAAAGCGCGCACACUACUAUAACAAAACGAAAAAUGGGAAAACACAUAUCCGAACAGAAACGCAGACGCACACCCCAGUAAAAAACAUGGAUUAACACCCAAACAACAUUAUAAUAACUAAAACGAUAGCAAUAAUACUAACGACGACUUAGAACAAUUGACAGAAAAAUGGAAAAGACCGGUCCAGAGCACACGUAAAACACACACAUGCACAAAGGAAACUUAAACCGACUUUUUUUCUUCAGAAACUUAAGAAGAGUGAACAGGAAAGUGGCCAAAAGCACAUACUAUAAAAACACGAUUUUGAUGUCAUAAAAUAUACAAUAAUAAGGUGGAGAUUAAAAAGAAAAUUUACUCUGAAGUGAGCUUGUUUCAUAUCUCUAGAAAGAUCAGCGAUUUUGUUUUGGAGAUCGGGAAUGCCGUCGUCUUGCACGGCGGAGCCGAGGAGCGCUAACCACGCGGCAAUGGCUAACGUGCGCUCGUGGAGAGAGGCGCAGAGCUCCAGACAGUUAAUGAGCACAAAGAUCUUGCUCUUGUGUUUGUACACAGCUAAAGUCUCAGCGACUUGAGUCAAAUCAACGGUGAUACCUUUGAGAGCAGUCAGAACGGAAGGUGGGAGGUUCUCUGGCACCGUCGACCGGAGAAGCUGGUUGACUAGGAAGUGUAUCCUCUUGGCGUAUCCGGAGAAGCGUCUAGCGUUUUCCCAAGCGUACUGGCGGUCGUCGGAGACGGAGACAUCGGACAAUGCUCGGUGGAUUGCCUCCACGGCGGCGUGUGAGGAGGACGAUGAGGUCAUUUCCAUUUCCGGGGUGCGUUAGACGAGGAGGGUCAAAGUAGGAAGUCAGGCAUGACUGACUAUGUGUGUUUUGGAGCAGUAUUAGUAGUAAAAAUUGUUGGCCGUUUGAGUGAGGGUGAGCGGUGAUUGUGAAGCUCUGUAAUUUUCCUCAGUUUGAUUGCAAUGCUGGGUGGGAUGGGAAGAAGAAGAAAGAGUCAAAGGUUGACUAGGGGGACGACCUUGACACGCAGAUAAGUAUUAAGUAGUGCUGCUUUGCCUGCUGCCCCUCUGGCCCCCAAUUGAAUUAUAUCAAGGGAUAAUUGCAGAAACCUCCCCUGAGGUUUCUGACAUUUGCACUGAUCUCCCCUGUGGUUUGAAAAAUUACACUAACCUCCCCUGAGGUUACUAAUCCUUUGCAAAUCCAGUCCAAACGAUUAAAAUAUUGUUUUAGGGAGUGAAAUUAAAAGUUUUUACCAAAUUUGUCCUUUGUAUUACAUGUCCAAUGAAUGACAAAGUACUACAAAUUAAUUAACAAUUAAUAAAUUUUAAGGAGUAUAGUUUAUAAACAAAUACGCAUUACCUAUUUAAAGUAUCGGCUCUUUAUGGGCAUUUUACUUUCAAACAUUUAAUUUAAUACAAAUAUUUAAGCUCAAAUACAGAUUUGUAUUUACUUUCAAAUAUUUAAUUUUUAUUAAAUACAAAAACUACCAAUCUUUGUUCCCGUAAAAAUAUUAAUAUAACACUUUUUCAAUUUUAAUUACAAACAUUUAUGUAUUUAACAUAAAUUAAAUGAUUCAGAAUAAAAUACCCAUAAAGAGCCAAUACUUUACUCAUGUAAUGGAUGAUAGCCAUAAAGAAUUAAUACUUUAUGGGUCAUUUCUUUUUUUAAAAAAAUAUUUAAUUUAUAUUAAAUAAAUAACCUACCGAUUUCUUUUUUGCAAGAAUAUUACUGUAACACUUUUUUGAAUUUUACUUACAAACAUUGAUAUGUUUAUCAUAAAUUAAAUAUUUGAAAGUAAAAUACCCGUAAAAAACCGGUAAUUUAAAUGAGUAAUGCAUGUUUGCCCAUAAAGAACCGGUAACUAUUUAAAGUACCGGUUCUUUACGGGUAUUUUAUUUUCAAACAUUUAAUUUAAUACAAAUAUUUACGCUCAAAUACAUUUUUGUAUUUACUUUCAAAUAUUUAAUUUUUGUUAAAUACAAAACCUACCAAUCUCUCUUCCGUAAAAAUAUUAAUAUAACACUUUUUCAAUUUUAGUUACAAAUAUUUAUGUAUUUAACAUAAAUUAAAUGAUUCAUAAUAAAAUACACAUAAAAAAUGAAUACUUUACUUAUGUAAUGGAUGAAAAUCAUAAAAAAUUAAUACUUUAUGGGCCAUUUCUUUUUUUUAAAAAAUAUUUAAUUUAUAUUAAAUAAAUAACCUACCGAUUUCCUUUUUGCAAGAAUAUUACUGUAACACUUUUUGAAUUUUACUUACUAAUAUUGAUAUAUUUAUCAUAAAUUAAAUGUUUGAAAGUAAAAUACCCGUAAAGAGCCGGUACUUUAAAUAGGUAAUGCGUAUUUGCCUAUAAAUUAUACUCCUUAGAGUUUAUUAAUUGUUAAUUGAUUUGUAGUACUUUGUCGUUCAUUGGACAUGUAGUACAAAGGAAAAAUUUGGUAAAAACUUUUAAUUUCACUCCCUAAAAUAAUAUUUUAAUAGUUUGGACUGAAUUUGCAAAGGAUUAGUAAUCUCAGGGGAGGUUAGUGUAAUUGUUCAAACCACAUGGGAGGUCAGUGUAAAUGUCAGAAACCUUAGGGGAGGUUUCUGUAAUUAUCCCUUAUAUCAAUUAAUAGACGGUAUUAAUAACUUGAUAUGAAAUUCAAGGAACCCUUUCCUUCAAAAAAAAAAUAAAAAUUCAAGGAACCCAGCACCCUAAGAAAAGAAAAUAAUUUCUUGUACAAAGUAAUUCGUCCAUAUUGGAAUAUGGAUUAGAAAUUCCAUAAUCAGGUUUACUACCCAAUUGAUCCAACAUGGCGAAUAGUAGUAGUAGAGUGUUUCAUUUCAUAACCCCUCUCUUCUCACGUUCCAAGAGAGAGUUGACCGUGCAGUUCCCCGCUGGUUACGUUACAAUCUCUGGUGCUUAUUAGUACUACCCAUAGUUGUCAAAAUCGCGAUCCGGAUCGUAGGAUCGUACGAUCCUACGAUCCGGAUAACCAAAAUCGAUCCGGAUCGUAUGCAGAGUCGCAAAUCAUAUUAAUUUUUUGCAGGAUCGCAUAGAAUCGUAGCAGGAUCGUGCAGGAUCGUUCAGGAUCGUUCAGGAUCGUAUAGGAUCGUAGGAUCGUAGGAUCGUACGAUCCUACAAUUUUUUUGUAAAUUUGUGAAAUACGAAGCUCCAUUUUGCAAAUAAAUGAAAAUAUUUGUGGUAUAUUUGUAAUUUAUCAAAGAAUUGCAACCUUUAAUUGCAAUUAAGAGCUUUUGGUAGGAUCUUACGAUUCUACGAUCCGAUCCUACGAUCCGAUCCUGUGAAACUAAAAUCGAUCCUACGUAGGAUCCCGAUUUUACAAACCUUGGUACUACCACCACCAUGUGUUUUGACACCUUCAAUUGGGAUGGUUUUCUGUUUUGACACCGUCAAUGAUUUUUUAUUUUUUAUUUUUCGGGCGCAUCCCUUCCGCGUCUUUGCACUGACCCCAACACAGCCUUUCAUUGGCUCUGACGGUUCCCUGCCCCACUCCUAAGACCUUUUGUAAAGUACUCUUAUCACAUUCCUUCUUCUCUUUUGGGAAGAAUAUGCGGUUUCUUUACAGUGUAGUUCCCAAAACGAUUGCUUCCAUGGAAAAUUUUUAAAAGAUGGCAGGCAACGUGCAAAUGUUUCAUGUGUGGCGCGUCCGUUGCUUCUAAUAAAUGCAAUUCUGUUUUACAGCGUAAUUCCAUCUUUUUGGGAACAAUGGGGUUAAGAAUCGUUUAGUCCAGCAGCCGUGUGAGCACAAGGUGGCUUUUGAAUUACUUAAAUCCAAUUGAACAAACAAGAAGGGAAGCAACUAUACCAAUCACAGAAGGUCGCUUGCUUAAUCAAGCAACCAAUUACAAGUAAAUUUGUUUGUUUUUUUUCCUUCUUUUUUUUUUGGCAAAAUACAAGGGCUUUAUUCCUUCUGCUGUUGCGAAAUCAUUUCUGCAAAACCAUUCAUUUGUCCAGCGAAUACCUGUUCCUGCAACCAAAAACAUAUGAUCUCCUUUCAAGUGCAUAGCUUGAUUCCGCUAUAGCUGAAUGAAAUAUUUUAUUGUAUACAAACCUAAAGCUUGACAAUAAUAUCUAAAAGUGCUCCUCCACGUCUCAUUUUCUCAUACAGUGUCGUAGUAUUUUUGUUCCGAUUUUUGCCUUGAAUUUUGUAUUCUUAAAUACUUGCAAAAUCAUAUUACUUGAUUCAGAAGUAUCAAUUCCAUGAUAUAUUUCGCUGCUACAUACACGAGGAUGUAUCUAAUGCGAGAGAGCGCAAUCUUCUGGUUACCUUCAUAUACGACUUAUAUCACGGCCAAAUACAAGGGUCGUUAACCAGUUGAUUGCUACGUAGAAUCUGUUCCUCCAGCUUAUGACACGCGUAAGAUAAGCAGACCGCCAGACAAACCAGCUUCCAAAUCCAGCCACAGAUAAUCCUCUUGCCUCCUGUACAAGGCCUCAAGAAACUGAGCCACCCACCAGAAGCAGUUUAACAGCCACAACAAAGAAAUACACAUACAGAUACAUUGGGUCAUUAACUAACCUUGCUCUGCCUGAGGUCCACAAGGGCCUUGUAUCUACCAAUGGUCGCCAUGCUCCCCAAAUGCCUAUAGACAAAUGGAGACCCAAGAUCGAUCUCCAUUGCAGCAUUGGCACGUCCACCACCAGCUUUACCAAUCCUGUUCAGUUCUUGUGCUAGAUAUUUUCCCUGCCGCUCAGCAACCUGGCCAAUGUAUACAUUGCAGAAACAAAUUACUUGCGAUAGUAAAAGUACGUCAAAUUGAUGUAGUGCCAGCCGGUCCACCAAUAUGCAGCCACAAAUCUUCAACCACACAGUGCAACACAAGAACUAGAGAUUUGCUACAUGCAAAUCUGUUGUACUUGCUAAAAAUUCAUGUCAUGAUAGUCAAGAAUUGGCAGUAUUGAUCAACCUUAGCAAGGAACCCAGAAGAGGGCACCCUACCUCGUAAAACUUAUUACCACUGUUGGAACAAACAUUAUGCAAUCAACAGUUAAGGAUUUGUUACAUUGUCCAAAAACUGAACAACUGGAAAAAAAUGUAACCUGGAUAUAUAUAUAUAUAUAUAUAUAUAUAUAUAUAUAUAUAUAACAAUAACAACAAAAAAACAGCAAUCUCCUCAUUGAACCAAACCUUUGCUAAUUCACAAGUUCUCUUUCAAAAUUCUUUACUCACAUUCUGUUAGCCUUUUGUUUUUCAUUCAACAAUCUGUCGAGAAAAGAGCAGAAACUAAGCUUGAAAAAAAGAAUAUUGGAAUUAUUGAAGCACGAGGAAGGUAGUCUGGGAUAUGGUUUUGGGUUUGGAAAAGUAGACAGAUCCAGUACACCUUUCUAUGGGGAAAUGCAAAGCCAGAACGGAUCAUAUCCCAAGCAUGACGAAGUCUAGCUUAGGAGUUCCAUAAUAACUUAUCAAAAUGAAAGGGAAGAAAUGAAAUCCAAAAUGAAAUUUCAAACCUAUACCCACUUAACCAUAUAUAACUUAUCAAUUUACUGGAUAGAAAAGAAAGAGUUACCACAAACGUUCUCCAACUAUGUAACAAUUAUAACACUUUUCACACAAAAUUAUCUGCAUUAAGUAUUUUCCUUAACUUACCUGAGCCAGAGCUGGAAGCACAGGCUUGCCUGUAGAUUCAAGAAACCCACAGCAGUCACCAAUAGCAAAAACAUCCUGCACAGCAGGGACACGAAGCCACUCGUCUACCCCUAUCCUGAAGAUGCACGAACUGUUGUAAUAAGUCUUUCAAGUGCAGAAAAUAAAGAGAAAUUGGAAAUGGAAAAGAAACACAGCCCUGUGGUAACAUCUAGUGAUCAACAAUUUGACUACAUAACAAUCAUGUAAAACUCUUGGAGGCAGUGUAAAAUUACCAUGUGAUGUUCCAAAAUCAAACCUUAGUCAAUUCAAGUUGAUAGAAACCUGGAUGGAUAAACUUGUAAUUCUAUCAUAUGGAAGAAUCCAAAUCUUUUUUCUUUCUCUUUUUUUUUUAUUGGGGGUGGAGGGCGGGGAGCUAAUAUAAGUAUCUAGGAGAAGGAAUAAAUUUUUAUCCAUUUGGAGGCCAAUAACCUUAUCAGAAGCUUAAGCUUUCAAGAAAUCUGCAUGUAUAAAAGCAGAAGGUAUCGAAUCCAUGCUGACCUUCCCCCAGGUGAUUUGGGAACAUCCAGGGAUUUGACAAAAGGUGAAGGGCCAACGCCGGUAGACCACACCAGCAGACCAUAAGGUACAUCAGUCCCAUCACUAAGAACUAUCUUCUCAGGUUGAACAUCCUUCACAAUUCCACGAACUAGACGAACUCCUGACUGAGAAGCUACUAAAUUAAUAACAAAAAUCACAAACAACACUAUGAGGUCUGACAUGCUAAAUAGAAGUAAAUUAAAAAUACCAAUUGGUAGCCAAGGUAAACAAAAUAAACUACCUAAAUCCCUAGUCACAACAUCUAGGGCCAUACUUUCAUAUGAUUGAAAAACAUAGAAAUGACAAUCGUUAAAUUAACAUCUCUGCACAUAUAUAUGUGCAAAUGGACAUACAAACUCUUACCAGGGUCUCACCUUAAUCAACUGCUUGGUUGCGUAUAUCCGCAGGCGAUCAUCAAAGGAAGACAAAAUCUCAUUUGCCUGGAAAUGAAGAAGCAGUAACUUGUUAUGAUCAAUUAACACUUUGUGCAAAACGAGUAUUAUACAAAUAAGUAAUAAUUGCAAUAGGAAAAUGUCAACGCACAACAAAAAACAAGAAGAAGAAGAAAAAAAAGAAAAGUGAAGGCGCGAUACAGUAUUUUUUUUAUUAGCUUUACCUCAAUCAAAGUAACGCGUAUAUAAUCCUUGACAUGAGCGUAUCUCUGGCGGACAUCCCUCGUGAUAAAAUCACUAAGUUCACCGCUGAACUCAACGCCUGUUGGACCACCACCAACAACUACACAAUGUAGGAGCCUACGUUUCUCUUCAUCACUAACUCCUGCCUCACCGGUACCGUAUCAGCAAAAAGAGUCCAGAAUAAUGCUAGUUCAUUCAAAUGUGAGCAGAAUGUGGGAUAUAAGGCAGCAUAACGGAUACCUGGCACAUCAGAGAUCAUGAGAUUAAGAAGCAAUUUCCUCCGGAUUUCCUGAGCAUGAUGAACCUCGCGUAGAAAAAUGGCAUGUUCUUUAACACCCCUGAUGCCGAAAGUUGACGCUUCUGCUCCAGCUGCAAUCACCAGCUUGUCAUAUGCAAUGGUGAAGUUCCAUGGCUCCAAAGUACCAGCUCCAUCAGUUACUGUUUCGCAAUUCACCUACCCCAGAAAAAGGAAAAAAAAAAAAAAGAGUAAUGACCACUAAACAGCUAAGGAAACUAUGCUAAAAAAAGAAAAAUAUUGCUUUCUUAACACGAAAUUUAUAAGUAUUAGCGAUGAUCAUCAGACCAAAAAUGAGGGAAUAUAUACCAGAUGGUUUUGGAAAUCAACGCCGGUGGAGUUAGCAAGGAAAUAGUACGAACCGGGUUCCCGAGAAAUGGCAGGUUGGAUCCUUCCAAUGGGUUCGGCAACAGACCGGAAUUCCAGAGUGCCGACGCACGUGGAGGCCAGCAAUGGAGUGAAGACCAUGUGAUUCCUGGGGGAGACGCAAACGACGUCGUAAAUGCCGGUAUCGAUAUCUUUAAUGAGUCUGCAUCCGGCCCAUCCCGAGCCCAAAACCACCACCCUCGGCUUCUCAUCCCCCUUCGUGGGCGCGAGCCCAGCAUACCUCGCGGCAAUAGUACCAGCUCCACUGCCUUUAUCACUCACGUCCGCCUCCGCCGCCUUCUCUUCGGUGGCGGCGGUGCUGAACUGUGUCAACUGGUGGGUAAAAGCAUAGGAAAGUGACGUAGCAGUAGUGAUGGGUUUGAGGGAUGACUGUGUUCUGAAGGUCGUAGAGGAGGAGAGGUGGAUGAGAUUUCUGAACCAAGGCAUGGCGGUUUAAGGUGGAAACUGUUGUUUUUAAUAUUUUAUUUGUUUCUCUAUGUAGUAGUAGUGGUAGACUGGUACUUUUGAUGCUGGAUAAUGGAUUUAAGGGAGGAUUGACAUGAACGAAUUGGUGAUUGAGGAUUUAAGAAGGGAAUUGGAAGAUUCUCUGAUUUUUGGUAUCCCCAGUUUUUUGGGGAGAAAUAGAAGAGAGUUUCUGUGGUUUUGACGGAAAAUGGAUCGAGUACAGUCAUACGAGAAAUUAUUAUUAUUAUUAUUAUUGUCAUUGGCUGCUGCGUGGGGAGGACGAGACAGGUGGCGGCUUGCUGGGUCAACAGAUGGCAUGAUGGUGGUGGCUAUUACCUGGUCGAGGAUUCGGUGAAACAAAAAAUUUCGCGCCACGCAAGAGCUGGAAAUGUGGUACGGUGGUCUUUGUCCUUUUCUUUUUUGGUUUUAACAAAAUGGUCUUUGUCAGUUGAUAAUAUAAAAAAAAAAGAAGAAGAAGAAAACGGAUAUUACUUAGAAAAAAUUGAAAUAAACAAAGCCUUUGUGCCAGAUCUCUUUGGCAAAGUAGUUUGUUUUUUCGUUUUUGUGCAUAAUUUCUUAUAUUGGUUUUCCAUUUGUUGCUCGAUGAAGUUCAGAAGUUAAUUACUUGAUCUAUGUUGUUUUUCCUUCUAAACUAACAAUUUAAUCUAUUUUUAUGUUACGAGGGAGGAAGGUACCCAACACCAUUUGUAUGGAACUGGGCGUAAACUUGUUCCUUGAAAGAUUGUUUGUUCGCGUUGGGACAAAUUUGUUCAUGUAUUGACAGCCCACUACGCAGAAAUUCUAGGCCCAAAAUGAUCUGUUUACGGGAAACAUGUUUAUCCUUCUUCCAACAUUUAGGUCCCGUUUGGAAUUAGAGUGCAUUUAUAGGGGGGAAAGAAAGGCCUUUUUACACAUUAACGUAUUUUUAAGGUGUUUGAUAAUUAAUUUUUUAUAAUUUAAUAAAUUAAAUUUUUGAUAAUUUAAAAGCACUCUUACUAAAAAUAAUUGUGUCAGAAGUAUUUUUUUUUUUUUUUUACAAGUCAUCAUAAUUUCAAACGAGCCCUAAUCAAGAUGAAAUCACUUCUUAUCCCGAAGGAAAAAGGGACAAAGAACACUUGAUCAUGCUAUUCUUUGUUCCUACAAUCUUAUCCGCAAACUCUGAUUGACUAUUGCACAUCCAAAGGAAAAGCAAAGCGAAUUAGAAAUGAAAAUGUGUAGGCAUCAUUUUCAUUGUACGUACAAUUUGAUGCGAGCAAGGGCGUAGACGUUAUAGUUUUGAUAAAUUGACAACCUGCUCCUCCUCGAUGAAAAAUGACAUUAAAAACAAAGCCUCUAACAUGAAUUUCAUUGAAUAAAAUGGGGAAUAGAGAAACAGCAUACAAAACAACAACGCCUUUAACAUGGAUUUCAUUUAAACAAUAGUAAAGGAAAGAAAGAAACAGCAUGCACAACAUAGCCUUCAAAAAAAAAAAACUUUGCAUUGUUGAACAGACAAGUGUCAUGUAAGCUUGAAACUGUCGAGCGUUGCCCCGACGAAGCCCUCCUUAAGCAUAGGACAUCCAUAACUGCAAAUAAACAAACACAUAGUAUAAUAUAGGUGAUCACAUAGUUAUCUGGCCUCCUCUGCUGGCAUUUUUCCUAGGAUCAUGGCCCUUGUUAGCCGUAGCUGCAGCGUAGUCAUCGAGCUUGGUUUUCAGAGAUCGUCCUUCAAUGCCGCCAACAGUCGUCUCGUCUUCUGCAAAAUUAACAUCGUCAUCAUCAACAAACAGUACUGAGAUGGCUGGUUCUCAUGACUUCAGAACCAAUAUCCAGUUAAUAAUUAAACCCCCAUAAAAGAGAGAGUGAGAGAUGCAUGCAUGCAUGUUUAGCACAGAACAACUGACAUUGAGUACGGUUUGUUCAAUAUAAAGAUUCCCAUCUUAAUUAUAUGUUCACAUCCAUCGGCGAUCGUCCGAUCACUGCCACUGUCUGACAUAGUUGGCUAAUUGGUAGAGGUGGCAAAAUGGGCGGGAUUUGCUUGGGUUUGAGAUGGAACCGAGUCAUAUGGGUUUGGGCCCAAUCUUACCCAUAUGUGUUUUGGGACUAACUUGGGCGGGAUCAUUUUGGGAUGGGUUUAGAUUGAUCCCGCCCAAUACCCAAAUCCAUUUUCUACAUAUUUUUUUUCCUUUAAUUCAUUUUUUAUUUUUAUAUAAUUUUAAUAUUUUUGAUUUAUUAAAUUUCUUUUAGUUUUAUUAAAUAAACAUGCAAGUGCUUUAUACUCAAGAUUCCCACCAAAAAUUGGAUUAACAAAUAAAGGAAAAGAUAGAUAUACAGCCAUAUUCCAACAUAUAUUAAGAUGGCCAAGGUCCUUAGGAUGUUGAAUAUUUAUCCUUAUCAUUGUCCAAGGAUGACAGGUCUAAACUAACUGAAAUGCUGGAAAUUCUUGUGGAUAAUGACUAGGAAGACUACUAGAUUAUAUUCGCUGGUAUGACUAUAAAAAUUGUUAAAGAUAAUUUUUGAAUCUAAGAUUCCGUUUGGAUUGACUUUUUUUUCAAAAAAUAAGUUUUUCAAAUAAAAUGUUACAGUAAUAUACAAUAACUCAAGAAACAUCCCAUCCAUAUUAAUAUAUCAAAUAUUUCAAAAAAAUUUUAUAGUAAAAAUUUUUCAUAUACACUGCUACAAUAAAAUAUUUCAAAAACACCUACCAAAAACAGCUAAUCCAAACGGAGCCCUUGCCAUUUGAGCCCAAUGGGUACCCAAGUAUUUCCCAUCCUUUCCCAUUCAUUAAUGGGUAUAGUUGGGAUGUGUCCCAACUUAAACCCAAUACCAAAUUAUAAUACCCAUCCCGCCCAAAGUUCCUUUGGGCAUGGGUAGCCCAUUGGGACUUGGGACAAAUUGCCAGCUCUACUAAUUGGCUCGUAAACCGUCGUAACAGAUACUACUAUUACUAUAAAUUAAGCUGCGCGUAAAACAACAAAAUCUCAUCAUAAUAACAUUAAUACCGAUAAACAAAUAUAAGAACCGAGGGGGAAGGGAAAAAAAAAUAUUUUUCUUUUUAGUGACCCCAGUAUCAGGAAUUACAAGCUUAAACACCCAGCGUGCAAAAAAAAAAAAAAUGAAUGAAAAAAAAAAAAACAUUUUGGGUGAAUUUUUAUGGUGAUUUGUUUUUCUGGCUAAGAAUUCAUUCCAGGAUGCGUGCCUGCGAUGAAAACCGGUGGAAAGCCCGCAUAGCAUUUCUAUGAAUAUCGGCAGAUGUUUAGAUAAGAAAAUAUAAACGUAGAACGAUGACAUUUGAAAGUACCUGAUAGAAACACGGAGUUUCUAGCGGAGGCAACAACGAGAAAGGCAAGUAGAAGACAUAAGCAGAGUCGACUUCCUCUUCCCAUUUCCAUCCUUCUCAGUUUUUUCACUCCUCAAGAAGAUGGCCUGGUGUUGUGCAGUGAGUAUAUACGUAGAAGUCUUAGCGCUGGCGUUGUGCAGUGAGUAUAUAUAUGUAUAACAAAGGUCAUGGCGCCCCCCCCAAAAAAAAAAAAGCCAUUUUCAUUUUGGGGUACGUUGGGGAAGAUUGCAGUUGACAUUCGAGCAAAUGGUUUGAGACAUGAUGUGAGAGUUUUGUGGGAGUAUCCGAGCCGCGCAUCGCAUCUUGGGUCAACGGAUUGCUGUUGCUUACCUAACUAAUUUAAGGUAAGCUGCCGUUUACCAUAUGUAAUUCCUUUAGUUGGGUAGCAAUCAGAAACUUUACGGACUCCAGGAGAUUGAGAAGCACAUGGAAUUAAACUUGUGACUUCCACGCCAACCCGUCCGAGAUAGCAAUUCAGUAAAGAAUUCUUCAUAUACUAGUUUUUAUAAUUUCGUUGUCUUCAUCUUAGUACCUUAUUAACACAUUGAAGGCUCCUACAAGUGAAUCAUCACACAUUCAGCUCAUUUUAGUACCUUAAUAAAUAGAUUGAAGCCCAAGUAAGUGGAACAUAAAAAGCUAGAAAGGGGAAAAUAAAUAUGCAAUUAAACGAGUUUUGAAGGAAACUGAUAAUCAAGCCAUUUGUUACAAGGACAAACGAGUUUUUUGUCUGUCAAACGAGUGUCCACUUGUUAAUGUGUAAUUCAUUUGUUAACAUUUUUUCAAAAAAUAGAGUUAUUCAAAUGUGUGCAUUCACGUGAUAAGUUGGAUAUAUAUAUAUAUAUAUAUAUAUAUUUUUUUUUUAAGGAAACCAGUUACUAAUAGUUAAUUGCUCCAGCAUUUGGAUAGUUUCCGUUGACAUUCCUAAGCCUUCCAUAUAUAUAUAUAUGGAAGCAUGAGACAUGGUUUCGACAUUGAUUUUUUGGGUUUUCUUAAAUGGGACUCGUUAACAUAUCUAAAAUUUACCCAAUUUAUCAUAUAUAUAUAUAUAUAUAUAUACAUAUUAAUAAUUAUUACUCUUCCUUAUUUAAUAUAUAUUAAACCGGAACAUUUUUCUUAUUAAUGUAUUUUGAUUUUUAAUAAUAAACAAACAAGCAGGCUUGUAAACGAUCAUACACAUUUUUCUUAAUAUUUAAAAAUUAUAUACCCAUGGCUUUGGCUCUUCGGUUUCGGUUCCACUCCAAAAUGGAUGUAGAGAGAGAGAGAGGGAGGGGAUGAUUGAAAAAAGAAAACGAAUAUUUCAACAAGGAAUUUCCAUUUUAUAACGUGUCCGUCCAAAAGCAUCUCUUUAAUCUCACAACCCAACCAUUCAGCCAAAAAAUGAAAAAUUUUCUCAUAAUCCAAAUCCAAACAAAUUUAAUGAAAGAACACUACUACUAGGAAAAUUCGCAGCCCCACAGAAGCCAAUUAAUGCUAAGUAAUACUCCUGGCAAAAUCGAAACUGUUUCCUGUAAUGGCUCACAUUAUUAAUUUCGGCUGCCACUCACGGCCGCGGGUUCGCGUAUUUAUAAGAUACAUGCUGGUUGUUUCAUAUCCAAGAUUCAGCUUAGCUAAUCACAAGGGUUUUUGGUUUGACUCUCUAACCUAAUCUCUUUUCUUAUCCCCUCUUGUAUGAUUUUGAGUAUCCUCUUGAAUAAAAAAACGUUUGAUUGUUCUAAACAAAAACUAGGAUAAAGAGUUUGGCUAAUGAGUACGUAUCCAUUAAUUACUCAUUAAGAGCACUCAUUACAAGUAGCCUUAAGUGUUUUUUUUUUUUUUGUUUUGUUUUGCCAAUAAGUGUAAUUACUAUGAGAAGGUAUCUAAAUGCACAAGGUGCAAUAAUUAUGACUGUAUAUAUUCACAUGGUAAAUAAGCAAACAUACUUUAGUAAAAUCCUAGCAUGAAUGAUUUGUUUUUUAAUUUAUCAAUGAUAUAUAACGCCUAGCUAUUCAUAGUAUAAUCUUAUAAGACAAAUAUUAAUUCCUUUAAUUUUAUCCUUAAAUCUCCAAGCUUGAUGGGCGUUGGACCCCAAAAGCUAGGAAAAGUAAAAUAAAAUGUUUCAGCAUGUGUCUGUCACACAUAUAGAUAUGAUAGAUAAAUAAUCAAUAGAAUCUAACUCCUCUCGAUCGGCCACUUGUGAUUAGAAAGGAAAAUGCAUCAGUUGAUCUAAAGUUUCAAUUCACAAAUUGAUAUGAGCAAAGAAGCAAAUGUUGUAGUAGUGGAUAAAUUGUAAUCCUCCUCCUCCUCCUCCUCAAUGAAAAUGCCACUUAAUAACAAAGUCUUGAACAUGAAUUUCAUUAAGAAAAAAAAAACAUGGAAAGAAAGAAACAGCAUACACGACAAACCCUUCAACGAAAAUGUAAACAGGAAACUGUUGCCUUGACGAAGCCCUCCUUAAGCAUAGGAAUAUCCAUAACCGCAAAAAUAAACAAAACAUCAAACGGAGCUCUUUAUUGCACAUAAUGCAUCAGUUGAUCUAAAGUUACAGUUUUAGACCCCCAGGAUUGGAUCAUACUCUUUAGCCACUCACGUCGUAUGCAGAAAAAGGUACUGAUAGCAAAUUUCCGGGCUUGGUUUUAUCAACGUUUCCUGGGCCGUCAUUUGCGGUGACCGCGCCUAGGAUCAUGGCCGGUGUUAGCCGAGGGUGCGCUGUAAUCAUCAAGCUUGAUUUUCAGAGACCUUCCUUCCAUCCCGGCAACAAUCGUCUCCUCUUCUGAAAAACAUAUAUCAUCAUCAAUAAACACUGAUAUGGCUGGCUCAGACUUCAGAAGCAAUAUCCAAUUAAUUAUUAAACCAAAAAGAAAAAAAUAAGAUAUGCAUUUUCAGCACAGAACGAGAUGAGUUGACUGUUUUUUUUUUUUUUUAAUAUGAAGAUUCUCAUAAUAUGUUUUUAGAGCCAUUGAGGGCCGUACCACCGUCUGCCAUGGUUGGCUCGUAAACCGUAACGAAGGCUCUAUAACAAAUUAAGCACGUCGCACAACAAUAUCUCAUGAUCUCAUCGUAAUAAUGAACAUACUGAUAAACAUAUACAAGAACCGAGGGGGCCCAAAUAAAAAAAAAAAAAUGACCCCAGCAUCUGCAAUUACAAGCUCAGAGCACCAAGUCCCCAGAGUGCAAAGUAGAAAAAAUCUUAGGUGAAAUUUUAAGUUGAUUUCCUUUUUUUUUUUUGGGUUAAGAAUAUUCCAGGAUGCAUGCCUGGGACAGAAACGGAGAGAGAGCCCAUUUACAUUUUCUGUGAAUAUGUACGGGUGUUUCGUUGGAAAUAGGUAAAUGCGUGAAUGGAUAAUGAUACUCGAAAAUACCUGAAAUGAAAAUGGUGUUUCUAGCGGAGCAAAUAACGAGAAAGGCAAGCAGAAUACAGAAGCAGAAUCGACUUCCUCCUCCGAAGCCCAUUCCUCUUUUCAGUUUUUACUCCUAAAGAAGACGGUGUUGUGCAGUGAAUGCCCUUCCUUCUAUAUAGAAAGAGUUCUUUCUACGACUGUGGGUGCCUGGAGUCAUAUAUAUAUAUAGCGUCAUUUCUGUUCCCCUUUUUUUGUUUAAAAAAAAAAAGUGGGGUUUGGUGGAAAAUUGGAGUUGACAUUUGCAAGUUGCAACCCGUUUGCGAUGUGGAGUAUUCUUGGAGUAUCUGAACCGCUCAUUUUGGUCAACGGAUUGCUUUUUUUUUUUUUGGGCCAAUGGAUUGCUGUUGCUUGCUUAUCUAAUCAAGGUAAACGUAGCUGGGUAGCGAUCACAAACUUUACGGACUCCAUGAGAUUGAGAAGCCAGGAAAUUACUGUGGAGAGUGUGUUUGAAUAGUAGAAUUAUUUUAAAUAAUAUUUUAUUUAUAUUAUAGAUAUAAUUUGAAUUAAUUUUUUUUAUUUCACAUACAUCAAAUCCUAAAAAAUGCUAUAAUAAUUGUUCUAAAUAAUAUUUGAAAUAAUCUCAUAUUGCAUCCUUCAUGUAGUUUUUUGGACAAUAUUUUCCCCCUGAUUUUAGUUUUAUUUUUGCAAAACUUUAAUGGCCCCAAAUCCAAUGAGUAGAACACGACAAAGUAUUGGGACCGACCCAAAUGAGUGGUUAACAGGGAAGAACCAUUUUCCCGAUCAAAUGAAUUAUGGAGGAAACUAAUAAUCAAGUUAAUUGUCACAAACAAACUAUUGGGAUCAAACCAGUAGUUAGGGAAAAAGUCUUUCAGAAUCUUCCCCUUUAUCAAUUUAAGGAUUCGAAUUGUGUUCCUGACAAUUACGGGUGAAAGAGAGUGUGGGUAGGGAUGAGAAGGUUAAAAGUUAAUUUCACAACAACAAAAAAAAGAAGAAGAUGAUCAUUAUUUUUUCCUUCAAGAAAAAUAGAUUUGUACAUAGAACAGCUUAUGACUGCCACUAAAUCCAAAGAUUAGCAUAGCAAAUUAUUGUCAAAGUAUUCAAAUAGUUUCCGCAGACAUUCCUUGCACCUUCCAUACAUUCUUGUUGGCAGUUGGCAGCACCAUGUACAGGACUUAUUCCUUCCACUGGGAUUCUCAGCUAUUUCCGUACCUUCCGAUUAUUCCCAUGCCAAAGUCGUUUGCAGGUACCAUCAGAACCAUUCCACUAGGCAUUUUAUUUUUCAUUUUAUGAUGUGAAAUUCAAUUCAAGAGAUUCAAACAUUGAGGACGAAAUUUGUGGUGGACGAGCCAUAUACAUGUCUCAUAUCACAACAACAUCUAUGGACUAUGGAUGCAGCAUGAAAGUAGAGAGAACUAGCAAUCCGACGAAGUUCAGCGUUCACGUUCAUCACAAAGUCUCUCCGGCCAAAAAGCCAUCCUGCUGCACGUUCACACCCUGAACUAUGUGGCUUUCUAGAGACAAAAACCGGUGGCCAAAUUAACUUCACACUCACUGCCACUGGUGCUUCUUAAGCUAUAACCCCUUCUGCAAAACCACGUACAUAUACACGUAAGCUAGGGUGAAUCUCUACUAGCCACCAUUUACCCCUUUUUUUUGUAAUAAAAAAUUUAUCUGAAUUCGACUCCAACCAUAACCACGCUUUAGAAUAUGUUUUUGAGAUCAUAAAUUACUUGCAAAAGAGCUAUCCCUUAUUGAGUCCCCUUCCACGUCCCGGUCAAUAAAGAAAAUAAAUGAACAAGGGUUUUAACCCCGCACCGAACGGCAUAAAGUUCAUCGUAAUAGUUGUGAGUCUUGUGACUUGCAAGCUGCGCCUUUUAAAAAAACAAAAAAAAGAAGGAUUUAUUCAGCCGUUUUCCUUCUUUUUUUAAUUUACCUUCCAAAGAAUUUUUCUGCUGUUACUUGGACAUCCAACCAUGGAGAAGACCUUAUGACUUCUAUAAGCCAUAACUGCCCCGUUUAUCUUCAUAUUUAUCAACUACUUGCCAGUCGAUGGCAUAUGCAUCGUCCUCACGAACUGACACUUAAAAAUUUACCGGAUAAAAUAAUCAAAAAACACACCAAGAGAAUCGACACAAUGUCAUUCAUUAGAGGUAUUAAAAUGGAUGACUCCAACGACUUUGGACAUGUCAUGAUUGGAUAAUGGAUUUAAGUUCAUCAAUUCAUUUAUACCAAUUUAAAUAAAUGAGUACUCAUAUAUAUAUUUAUUUAAUAAAUACAUAUUGAUAUAUCCAAUUACCCAUUUAUGAACUACUUAAAAUUCUACUUAUUUUUUUCUUUUUUUUAGCAUUUUCUUUGACAAAAAAAAUAUUUUGUUACUAUCAGAUUGAUAAAAAAUUCAAAUUUAUUUACUUAACACUCACUAAAAGUUGAAUUUAAAUAUAUAUAAUUAUUUUUAAAUAGAUAUACAUGAGUGAAUCGAAUCAACUCACUACUUUAAUUGACUACCCAUUUAGAUCCAUUCAAAAUUAACGAGCAAGUUUAAAUGAAUUAUUGGUGAACGAAUCAACAUAAUUAGUUGUGAUGGACACCUCUAAAUGUCACCAAGCAAGAAAACCUUGUGGAGAAGACUUUGGCAAUACGUAUUAGGCCUGGUAAACUCGACUAGCAUCAAAACAUCCGGAAAAGUAGAGUGAUACUCGACGAGUUUUAAGGAGAAGACUAUGGUAAUACAAACUAGGCUUAGUAAACUCGACUAGCAUCAACACAUCCGGAAAAGUAGUAGUACUUAACCGGUGUGCCACACGCCUUCAUUAUGGUAACAACUUUGCAUUGUUGUCUUUUGUUUGUCACAUGGCAUCUAAGCAUGCUGUGUAUUCCUCCUUUCAAUGGAAAAAAUUCGUGAAGAAAACAUGACUCCCCACCGUCCAGAUACUCGACUGGAUCUUACCUGAUCAGAGCAAGUUAUAAAAAGAGGAAAAAGAACUCAGAAAAGUGCUUUUAGCCAGCGUCAUGACAAUCAAGCAAAUUCUUCAAGCAAAUAUUACAUUACCAGAAAAAAAGGUCAUCUGGCAUCUUUAGCAUAAUCUGACCUGCUGCGAGGGGCACAGGCAUGAAUGUGGAUCUUUUAACAAGAAGAUUAUGGACAUAAACAAGAAAAUGGAAUAUAUUAAUUUUCUGUUUACACCUUAAAAUAACAAGCAAAGAUCAACGCAAAAUGGUGCAUGCCAUGGAAAAAUCCCGCAAAAAAGCGGUACCACAGGAAUCACUGAAUCAAGCACCCACAGCAGGGAAUAUCCAACCAAAACAUAAAUAACAGAAACUAAUAUGCAAACAAUUUUGACAGCUAAAACAGGUUCUUGAAAUACACCUAUCCAUAACAAUAUCAAGUGCAAUAAGUUGUUGAUACACCAUAAGAAACAUCAAACCUAAAAAACCGUUAGCUGUUUAUAAAGUGAACAAACUUCAGAGAAUUACCAGCCAGAAAGGAAGUUCAGCUUUAGCAAGGCCUAGACAGAGAUUGCACACUAUAGAGAGAGAAAUUUCAGAUCAUUUCCUUCCCACAAAAG